rnacentral:lncRNA from 1 species
AUUACAACAAUGGAAAAAAAAAAAAACUUUUUCAGAUUAAUUACUUACAAGCAAUUAUCAAACACAAAAUCAUGAAACCCAUAAAUCUGAAAAAAAAAAAUGAAAUUUAACCAAACCAAGCUGAAAUUAAAAUCUUGAUAAUGUUUUUUUUUUGCUGAUAAAUGCGAGAUUAUCAAACACACGAUCUUGAAAUCAAAUGGAUUGGAAAUUAAAUUAAGCGAAACCAAGGUGAAAUUAAAAUGUUGAUAAUUAAUUAAUGUUACAUAUAAGAAGAAUCGAUGA